GAUGAACGCUGGCGGCGUGCUUAACACAUGCGAGUCGAACGGAAAGGCUCCUGCUUGCAGGGGUACUCGAGUGGCGAACGGGUGAGUAACACGUGGGUGAUCUGCCCUGCACUUCGGGAUAAGCCUGGGAAACUGGGUCUAAUACCGGAUAGGACGAUGGUUUGGAUGCCAUUGUGGAAAGUUUUUCGGUGUGGGAUGAGCUCGCGGCCUAUCAGCUUGUUGGUGGGGUAAUGGCCUACCAAGGCGUCGACGGGUAGCCGGCCUGAGAGGGUGUACGGCCACAUUGGGACUGAGAUACGGCCCAGACUCCUACGGGAGGCAGCAGUGGGGAAUAUUGCACAAUGGGCGCAAGCCUGAUGCAGCGACGCCGCGUGGGGGAUGACGGCCUUCGGGCUGUAAACUCCUUUCGCUAGGGACGAAGCGCAAGUGACGGUACCUGGAGAAGAAGCACGGGCUAACUACGUG
rnacentral:rRNA from 1 species